rnacentral:rRNA from 1 species
GAUUCAUAAUAACUUAACGAAUCGCAUGGCCUUGUGCCGGCGAUGGUUCAUUCAAAUUUCUGCCCUAUCAACUUUCGAUGGUAUGGUCUUGGCUUACCAUGGCUUCAACGGGUAACGGGGAAUUAGGGUUCUAUUCCGGAGAGGGAGCCUGAGAAACGGCUACCACAUCCAAGGAAGGCAGCAGGCGCGCAAAUUACCCAAUCCCGACACGGGGAGGUAGUGACAAUAAAUACUGAUACAGGGCUCUUUUGGGUCUUGUAAUUGGAAUGAGUACAAUUUAAAUCCCUUAACGAGGAACAAUUGGAGGGCAAGUCUGGUGCCAGCAGCCGCGGUAAUUCCAGCUCCAAUAGCGUAUAUUAAAGUUGUUGCAGUUAAAAAGCUCGUAGUUGAACCUUGGGCCUGGUUGGCCGGUCCGCCUCACCGCGUGCACUGGUCCGACCGGGUCUUUCCUUCUGAGGAGCCGCAUGCCCUUCACUGGGUGUGUCGGGGAACCAGGACUUUUAC